AUCUCAUGGAGUUGAGAGAAGGCUGAUGUCAACUUUUGUCUCAAAAUACGUGAAUCUAUGAGUUUCUCUCAGAAAAUGGUUGUCUGCCAAUGCUAACUGGCCAGCUCUGACAGGAGGUGCUUGGCCCAGGAGGAGUCAUCAGGGCAGUUCUCUGGGCUACUGCUGUGUCUCCAGCUCUGCAGUUUGCUCUGCAUCACUCAGCGGCAGACGGAGAGGCAGCUGCAAGCCCCUUGUGAGAUUUCUUCCUUGCCGUCAUCUCACGAUGCUCUGUAAUAAGGAGGCAAAUGGCUGAGGUCCCCUCAUUUGUAUCUUGCUUCCCUCCCCAGUGCCUCUUCAAACCACUUUGUCAAAAACAACAAGAACGAAACAAAAACAACAACAAAAAGAUUCUUGUGUUCAUGAUACUAAAACAAAAUUGCUUCAGCUCUGUUGCUUAAGAUUAAGCACUCAAAAAAUGUCGAAGGUGGUCUUAAAAAUCUGGCUGUGGUUAAUGGGAUCAGCUGCAUUUUUCUUUAAAAUCAUGUGACCCAUCUCCUCCAUUUUACUUUUGCAUUUGACUUUCCAACUUCCAUGCGAAGGAACAGCAUGUGGUUUACUUGUGGUCAUAUUAUAUGUUACUUUGGUGCUUUACAACUUUCAAAGAGCUUUUAUGCAAAAGUGAUAUCAUCAGAUCCUCAGAUAACCCUGUGAUGUGGGUAGGUUGAUGGAUACACUAUCAUCAUUUCCCAUAUGAGGAAAGAAGAGUAAAUAAGUUACACAACAUGGACGAGGUCACCCUGCACUUCAGAGGUGGAACCAAAUUCCAACAGAAGCAUUGAAUUUCUAAACGAGUUUUUGUUUGUUUUUUAUCUUUUCCAUCACACCAAGCCACCUCUGUGAAGGAAAAUUGCAUGCAUCUCCCUAACCCAACAUUUUUCAUGUUAAAUGUCCACUAAAUUAUAGUCACAAUUUGGUAGUCUCAGUAGUUCUUCUUGUUUGAAGACAACUUUUUCCAAAUUUCCGUAUUUUUUCUACGACUUUAUCAUUUUCUUCUCUACCCAGAAUUCCAUACUUAACAUUCGCAACAACACCCUCUUUUAUCUUUCUUCUUUCUUCUCUCUCUCUCUCUUUUUUUUUUCUCCCUUUGUCUGUCCUCUUUU